rnacentral:rRNA from 1 species
UACGUAGGGUGCGAGCGUUGUUCGGAAUCACUGGGCUUAAAGGGCGCGUAGGCGGGCUGCCGCGUCCGGGGUGAAAUCCCACGGCUCAACCGUGGAACGGCCCCGGGUACGGGCGGCCUCGAGGAAGGUAGGGGCGUGCGGAACUGUGGGUGGAGCGGUGAAAUGCGUUGAGAUCCACAGGAACUCCGGUGGCGAAGGCGGCACGCUGGACCUUUUCUGACGCUGAGGCGCGAAAGCCAGGGGAGCGAACGGG